AUAAACCGGGAAUAGUGCCCAUAGACAUUCCUUCUACUCAUGGAUCUGAAACAGAACUGUCAGAGGAUCACUCAACAGGAGAGGCUUCUGCAAAAUGGAUAUAUAAAAUUGAUAGGACAAACAUAAUUCUCCAAAUCAGCAACAGAGUUUAUAAAAUGCUCAGUCUUGCCUCCAUGACUUUAGAGAACAAACAAUUUCAGGGCAUUUUCUAGUUCACUUAGGACCAGAUUAGGGAAGCAAGAGCUGACACUGGGACUCCCAAACACCAACAUCCAGUAAGGGAGAUGGGGAAAAAGAUGGCUGAAAGAAUUUGUCCAAUGCACCAUGCUUUCCUAGUAUUUUGACAGAAAGAUUAAGAGUUCAGUUGGAUAUAUCUGGAUGGCAUUUUAGAACUUAGGUUCUACAAAGAGAAAAGAAAUAUUGGAAGAUACAAGCAUUAGACUAGAUGAAGAACUGACACGAACACCUGAGACUAGGAGAGAACAAACUACACAGGAUUAGAUGUACUGGAUACUAUAUGGCUACUGAUUAUGCAAGUGCCCUCCAAAUCACACAGUGACCUGAGAUUCAUGAAGAGACAUGCACAGAAACACAACAGUUGAGGAAAGAAAACUGAGAGAAAGGUUCAGAAUAAGGGCAACCAGCCCAUCCUAAGUAUAUCUGAUUAAUGCAGGCUUUUUCCAUGAAAUAGUCAACAUAGAAAAAGAGAAUGGUGAAAAUAGAAAGAACUGAGCAGAAGUGAAGAGAAACCAUUCCAGAGUGACAGCUCCCCAGCAAAAAGCAUUUUGGGCUUUAUAGGCAGAAGCCAACAUAGGCAGAAAACCAGAACACCAGAUUUGCUGGGCAGCUUCAUGAAACCUUCAUUUACACCCAUUAGCCCCUCCUGUUUCUGAAAUGUUUCCUGCUUGCAAAAUAUGAUAGGUUCUGUAGUCAUCAAAUUUAAACUCUGACACAAACUAAAACAAGUGAUCAGGUAAAGAAAAAAGGAACAUUACACUGAAAGAGUAUAUAUACUAUAUAUAACCUAAGUGGCUAAUGCCAGUGUCUGGGUUUAAAGGGAAGUCUGGGGCAAGUAGCUGCAUGUUCUGCAAUCUGUCACUCACUUCUUGACUGAUCUCUGAAUCAUAUUUUAAGACUCCACUAUCAGUUCAUGGACUUCCUUUUCUUGCCUCCCCCCCCUGCCCCAAGAGUCUCAAGUCUGUUUUUCCUGCAGGACUCCGGGGGUUUUACUUUUUAACUGGUGGCAGUCUUUUCUCCAGGCUUUUACUGCAGCUCAUACACAUAACUUUUGGGUUUGCAUCUCUAAAUGACUAACAAAAAACACCAAUGUAUUUUUCAGUAAAAUCUCUCCCAUUUUUUCACUGUUAUCUUGAAAAUGGUUAAAAGAAGAAAAAGAGAAAAAAGAUUGCAAAACCCAUGAAGAAUUUUUCCUCCUUUGAAACAGAAAAGCAAACAAAACCCGAUAUUUCCAUAAUCACAGAAAAAUCACCACAUUUCAAUUGUCUCUUUUCCAUUACAAAUCACUAUUAACAACUGCAGAGUGAUGGGUAAAAAUACCCCUUUGGUACUGGAGGAUUAGUUCAGACUUGUGCCAGCAGAUACAGAGCUGUGCCUCUGCAGCACACUUCUGCAGAUCACAGAACACGUAUUUUGCAGCUUAUCUAAAUGAUCAUCUUUCUUUAUUUUCUAAACAUUCCCAACAUAGCUCCAGAAAUUCAAUGUACUGCAAUCUUUCUAACUUUUCAAAGAUGUCUGAGGCUGGGUGUGGACCAAUAAAGAGGAAUCUGUAUCAUGAGUCUUAUGACUUUUAUCACUACAUUCUCAGCUGUUAGUGACAAGAUUAAACUUCCAGAAACAUCUCAAGCAUCCUGAAUGAGGUUUGAUGAAAACCACCACAUACUCAGCCCUCGGCACUGCUUUGUUCUUGGAUUUGUUUUAUUUUUUUUUCUUCCUUUUAAGAAGAAAUAUUAAAGUCUUCUAUGCAACUGAAACCUUAUACAUGUGCUUUUAAAUCAAAAGCAAUCAAUACAUGAACCUAUUUUAAGCCA